rnacentral:misc_RNA from 1 species
CGCAGUACCGAUGCUACGGCGCACCGGCGUCUCGCGCUGCUUCGGCAAAGUGCUCUACGGGCCCUCGUCGACUCUCCCCAGCGACUUCUUCCGCUGCUGCACGGCGCACUUCGGCGUGCACCUACACGAGGAGACCUUCAUCGGCACUCGCUCGUCGCAGCACCGCGGACUGUUCCUCUCCCGAUCGCGCACCACCCCGCUGCCGGCCAACAAGCCGCUCGCCACUAUCCCUCUCUCCACACUCUUGACCGUGUCGAAGAUCUCGACCAAGCCGAAUGUUUUGCCGCACGUCACGCUGGCGAAGGUGCACGACGCCAUCGCAGAUGACGAGUUUCGCAUAAUGGCCCCGCAGUUCUACCUGGGGCUGCAGAUGAGCGCCAUUAUCGCUGCGAUACCGGACAUCACGCGCGCACACUCAGCCGUGGAGGUGAGCGAAAUGACGGACCUGCUGCGCGCCGGCGUCACGCCGUAUGCCCGCAUGCUGGACGACGAAGACUUCAACGAGGAGUUCGUGUUCGGCAUGUAUGGCAUGGCCCUCGACUCGUGGCAGCGCGCGAGCUACGAAGAGAUGACCAAGAAGUACCAUCUCGCCCUUACAGCCAUACACGAGGCCAUCAACCCACCCUUCAAGCUUGAGCAAUUCCAACGCAUCACGCGGCUGGUGCUGGCGAGGGUCGAGCAUGUGCCACCGGCCGACUACUACAGCGGGCGCCUCUUUCUCCGGCGACUGCGGCGUCGGUGGCGACGGCUGAGGAAGAUGCCGGAGCCGGCAGAGGUGGCCCUGGUGCCGUACUUGGACCUCGUGAAUCACAGUAACCGCCCAAACUGCACCACUCGCAUCGGCCCCUCCUCCGUUCUCGGUGGUGAGGGCGCCAUCACCCUCGUCACGCUGCGCGAAGUGCUGCCCGGGGAGGAGUUGUGCCGUCACUACAACUUUGCGCUGAGCCGGGCGAGCGCGCUCUUCCGCUACGGCUUCUUGCCCUUCGACCUCAUCUCCAUCGUUGAGCACGAUGCCGUCGACGAGCACGUCAUGAAGUCGCGGGACAUGUUCCGGGCGGAGUCGGAGGAGCAGCUGGAACAGCAGCGGCGGGAGGCCGAGGAGGUGGCGCGGCUGGAGAAGUUGUUCCAAGAUGCGAAGCAGAGCCACGGCCGCAGCGGCGCAGCUGCCAGCACACCGCCUGGCAGGCAGCCCGAUCCCAGCCUGAGCGAUCGUGUCUCGCGACGCGAGGAGUAGCGCGCUGCUUUGCAGGUUCCUCCCCAGCCCCAAUCCCCCCCCGGUUCUCUCGUGGCUGAUGAUGCAGGCAGAUGUGUCUGUCUGCCUGGUAGGUCUCUGUAUGUACACGUGAGGCGGGGGGUGCCGAGCUCGUAUGCAUCGUUUCCCGCAGACGCGUCGCCACGCGCGAUCAUCACGAAAGGUGGUAUAGUUUGCAGCGAUUCUCGGAGACACGUGCGCGAUGCGCUAUCCUCACAAAGGGCCUGCACCCCCCACCACCACCAUCACCACAUAAACACACACGCAUAGACAUCCGACGGCGCAUGGUUUCAACCGCGUGUUGUAGAUCGAUGCGUGAAUGGCUGCUUGACUGAAACCAAGGAGAACAGUGUUUAAAGUGCGCAAACCAGGCCGCCUAGCGUCUCUCCGACCCCCUCUCCUCUGCACCCCCGCUGCGAUGGAGCUGGGCGGACCGCUGUUGGUGCCUGGAAAAGCGAUGAGUCGUAGGGCGAUGCCUUUCCUCCUCGACGGAGGGGGUGAUGCACGGUCCCCGCGUAUGCGUGUGUGUGUGUGUGUGCGACAACGUCCAGCGGGCAGUCAAACAAGUCGAUUUUGAUCCGAGGGCCACCGCUGGUAGCGCGCGCAGCUGGGUUAUCACGAGCGAAAGGAAGACACUAGAAGCCAUCCUGGCAAGGCGUCGUCGCACCUAUGGGUGUGGCCCCGUCUCCCUCCCCCAUCACCGAAUAUGAUCGGCCACCAAAGAGACGCCAAGUACCGUAGUGAGCUUGUGAAGUGGUGCUGGCACUCGCCUGGUGCUGUGGAGAACCGGUUCCGGUGUAGCAUGGCCCGCCCCCCCCCCCUCCGCCGUAGCGUAAACAUGUCGUCUGUGUGCUGCCUUGCCUCAGGAGCUGCAGCUUCACGGAUUCAGGUGGAAGCAUCGACUAUAGACAGUCUUAGCACCUCGAAAGGGGUGAGGGUCCUGGAGUACCGCAGUCGCCGUGUUGCGUGGCUGUCGAGGAUGACGGUGAAGAUCCCAAGGCCUGGACAGCACGUUGACUUCGUAUCAUCGUCUUUGAGCCACAAGGUACGCCUGCCCCGUCAUGCUGCCAGCGCAAGUGCGCUGGCUAAGCGACAUGUGAAGGCGGUCUCGACGCUUGAUCUGCACCCCCCCCCGCCGGUUUCCUGGCUGCUUUAAG